AUAGCUGAUGUAUCAUGACCGUGGGCAGAGAUGAUGACAUCACGGGCAGUCAACCAGCAGCGUGGGGCUGGAAGAAGACUCCGCUUUCUUUCCUCAUUACUGCCAUGACAAUCCGAUUCCUCUGUGGCAUAGCCCUUUGUUUCCUGGCAGUAGAUCUUAUGAAUGCAGAAGUAAUUCAGAUCGCACGAUACAUGGUCAAGCGGAGGGGAGAAAAGGUUUUGCUGGAAUGUUUCCAGGACAUGAACCAUGAACGGAUGUACUGGUAUCGACAAGACCCAGGUUUGGGGUUACAGCUGAUUUAUUUCUCCUACGAUGUUGAUAAUAAUGAGGAAGGAGAGGUCUCUGAGGGGUACAGUGUCUCCAGAAAGAAGAGAGAGAAUUUCUUCCUGACCCUGGAGUCUGCAAGCACCAACCAGACAUCUGUGUACCACUGUGCCAGCACUGCAUUACAGCUGUGUUCUGGAAACACCAUCUAUUUUGGGAAGGGGAGUCGGCUCACUGUUGUAGAGGACCUGAAACAGGUGACCAUACCCAAGGUCACUCUGUUUGAGCCAUCAGAAGCAGAGAUCGCCAACACCCAGAAGGCCACGCUCGUGUGCCUGGCCACAGGCUUCUACCCCGACCACGUGGAGCUGAGCUGGUGGGUGAACGGGAAGGAGGUGCACAGCGGGGUCAGCACGGACCCUCAGCCCUUCAAGGAGCAGCCUGGCGUCAAUGGCUCCAAAUACUGCCUGAGCAGUCGCCUGCGGGUGUCGGCUGCCUUCUGGCACAACCCCCGCAACUACUUCCACUGCCAAGUCCAGUUCUACGGGCUCACAGAGGAGGACGAGUGGAAAUACAAUGGAGACAAACCCAUUACCCAGAACAUCAGUGCCGGGGUCUGGGGCAAAGCAGACUGUGGCUUCACCUCAGCGUCCUAUCAGCAAGGCGUCCUCUCUGCUACCGUCCUCUAUGAAAUCCUGCUGGGGAAGGCCACCGUCUACGCUGUGCUGGUCAGCAUCCUUGUGCUGAUGGCCAUGGUCAAGAGAAAAGACUGCUGAAGCUCUCAGCACGUGAAACCAGCAGCUUCCAACCUGUGCCAGAGGCAGUAUGGAUGCUUCCUAUAUCAACGCUUUUGGAGAGGUGUUCUCAUCUCUCUACACAGCCCAGUAUCUUCCCCCUGUGUGUGUGCGUGUGUGUGCACACUUAGGCCAUCGUGGCAGAAAUUUCCCUGGCCCAGAGCAACCUUAGCAUGCCUGAAUGAAUUAAUGAAUAAAAGCACCCUGGUCAGGGUUGCCUCUGA